rnacentral:rRNA from 1 species
CACUUCUAAGGAAGGCAGCAGGCGCGCAAAUUACCCAAUCCUGACUCAGGGAGGUAGUGACAAGAAAUAACAAUAAACCGGCUUAUGCCGGUUUAAUUGGAAUGAGUACAAUUUAAACAUCUUAACGAGGAACAAUUGGAGGGCAAGUCUGGUGCCAGCAGCCGCGGUAAUUCCAGCUCCAAUGGCGUAUACUAAAGUUGUUGCAGUUAAAAAGCUCGUAGUUGGAUUUCUGUGGGGACGGAGCGGCCGGCCGCACAUCGCGGUUCGAGCUAGCGCUUUCCCUACAUCCUGCCGCGAACCGUGCUACCAUUAGUUUGGUGGCGCCGGGGAUCGGCUCGAUUACUUUGAGAAAAAUAGAGUGUUCAAAGCAGGCCACAUGCCUUGAAUAAGUUAGCAUGGAAUAAUAACUAAGGACUUCGGUUCUAUUUUGUUGGUGUUCGGGACUGAAGUAAUGAUUGAUAGGGACAGUUGGGGCGGUCUGUAUUCCAAAGCGAGAGGUGAAAUUCUUAGACCUUCGGAAGACAAACAGCUGCGAAAGCGUUCCGCAAGGAUGUUCCCUUUGAUCAAGAACGAAAGUUGGGGGAUCGAAGACGAUCAGAUACCGUCGUAGUCUCAACUAUAAACUAUACCAGCUAGGGAUCGGCCAACGUUAUUUUAUACCGACUUGGUCGGCACCUUAUGAGAAAUCAAAGCAUCUGGGUUCCGGGGGGAGUAUGGUCGCAAGGCUGAAACUUAAAGGAAUUGACGGAAGGGCACCACCAGCCGUGGAGCCUGUGGCUUAAUUUGACUCAACACGGGAAAACUUACCAGGUCCAGACAUAGUAAGGAUUGACAGAUUGAUAGCUCUUUCUUGAUUCUGUGGGUGGUGGUGCAUGGCCGUUCUUAGUUGGUGGAGUGAUUUGUCUGGUUAAUUCCGUUAACGAACGAGACCCCAGCCUGCUAAAUAGCGCGCGUGAGCUUUGCUCGCGGCGAGCUUCUUAGAGGGACUAUGAUGCGCGAUAGCACAUGGAAGUUUGGGGCAAUAACAGGUCUGUGAUGCCCUUAGAUGUUCUGGGCCGCACACGGGCUACACUGGCGCCUGCAACGAGCAUAUCAGCUGGCCCGAGAGGGUCUUGGCUAAUCUUUUGAACCGGCGCCGUGCUUGGGAUUGACCUUUGCAAUUGUUGGUCAUGCAACGAGGAAUGCCUUGUAAACGCGAGUCAUCAGCUCGCAUUGAAUACGUCCCUGCCCUUUGUACACACCGCCCGUCGCUCCUACCGAUGAAUGUUCCGAUGAAAUUUUCGGAGAGUGCCUGUGAACUUGGCUCUGCCUUGCGAACGGGAAGUUCAAAGUCACUUAAAUCUGAACAUUUCGAGG